CCUCUCUUUGUUCCUGUGUAAACUCAGCAGACAAAGGCAAUCCGAUGUCUUCUCUUAGUACAUAUCUGACUCGGCAGAGCCGUGAUGCAAGGAUGAUAACUUCCUCUGAGACCAGUUUGGCUGUAUUCCCAGGUCUCAUCGUUUCGACCUUAUGUUACAUGUUAGUGGUACUGGUGAGAGCUCAGCCUGUUAGCUGCCAUUCAGUAUAGCAGAGUGAGCUGGAUCUCGUCCUCUCUGGGGUUUAAAGUGGCUCGUGAAUGUUACCUACUCUCGAUGUGUCUGCCGCAGCCUUACUCUCAGUUGAUGUGUGUUAUGCUGUUAGUGUUGUGACUCAUUCUCAGUGAGAACAGGACAAGCAAAUCUAUUUUCUCAUCCAAACCCCUUUGCAUGCUGUGGUAUGGUCGCUAGGUUGGGUGAAUGUAUCCCGCUGCACACUGUACUUUGGUAGAGACCAUCAGAUUUCUUUCAUAUGCUAGAAGUUCUUGUCAGAAGAGAGUGUGUGUUCUUACACCCUGUACCCAAAGCACACUGAGUCAUAAUAAAAACAUGAUGACUGCUAAAACGUGACGAUGCCGUAGCUGACGCAGUGCUGUAGAUCUUGAGUUGUAGAGAAGGUAUAGGCUGAUGUAAGCGUCCAUACACAGGGUAUUAUCCACACCAAGACUUGCGCAAGGGUGCUCUCUCUGAUUAAGCACCCAAAGGAAAAGCUCUUAGGAUGUAAAAAGAUGGCCUGAAGAAAGCCAGACAGCACCAGUGUUAACUUUCAAUUCUGGACAAACUGAGAGCAGAAAGUAUCUUCUUAAAUGUAGCUGAUAAAUAUCUUGGAGAAACAAAGUGAAUACCAUCUGGUACUCCUUGAUUUCUCAGAAUCACUAUAUGUCAGUGAAUAGCCCUGAGACUCUAAAAUAUAAAAUGCACAAGUCACCAAUUUCAAUGACAAAAUGUAAUAAUUUACAGAAGUAUUGAAAACUGAAGGGACAUAUACAGUGGACGGUAUCAUUGCUAUAAUCUUUUUCAGAGUAGAAAAUAGUGUUUAAUCUUGCUCUGUCUCAAGUGACAUUCAUGGAGUAGUACAGAGGACAGACACACUGUUUAUCCCCUCUGCUCCGUACCCCUGUCUUCACCCUCACUCCUCACCCCUACCCCAGCUCCCACAGCACUAGCUCCUUCGUCCCAAUGUUCUUCACCUCGGUCCCCAUCUCCCCAGUGGAUAAGGAAAUGUACAUGCAGAUUACGUCCUGAGGGUAGAGCUGUUAAAGCUGACCAGUCCCCUGCUGUGGGAAGAUGAUAGAACAGGAAGAUAGAAGACAAGACACAAAUGCCAUCUAUGUUGUGUUUGACAGGGCAUGAGACAACUCCGUUUACUCCAUUAGUUAACAAGCCAAGUAAGGCAUGGCUGGAGUGUAUUAAGAAAGGAACAAGCUAUAAAAAUAAGAGCAUCCAUCUGAGGAAAUUUGUAGGAUCUCCCAAUACUGAGGUAGACAUGAUCUGAGACAACCAUUAGUGCUGGCUUUGGUUGGAGAAGAGGCAGUUGGCAAACUCAGGCAGUGAAGGUAAUGGGUGCAACUGGUCCUGUAAUGCGCUUAGGCGUGACGGUGUGCCAUGACAGCCCCGGUCUGUGCUGUUGAUGCCCAGUGUAACUUAAUGCUGCAGCGGUAGUUAAAAGCAACCUUGAGAAUAAACACCAGUCUGCACAUUCGAGGAAGAGGCAGAGCCUGUGCUAGGACAUGGAGAUCUUCAAGAGAACAAGACAGCCAGCACUGAAACUAAAUAUUUUGAUUGCUGGUGAAUAAAUGUCUCAUAGAUUCAAGAUUAUUUUUGUAAGAAGUCUUAAUGAGACAAGAUGCAGUACAUAAUUCUUCUAUGUCAUGAUACAGGAAUUCCAAACAUGGCUAAACAUAGUUACUGUCACGUGUUAAAGCGGAGCUGUGAGGGUUUGUGGAGAGACAUGUGAACAGUGUGUGGAGGGCGUUCACUCUUGAGGCUGGUUCCUGCUGCAUCUUGACGGGGCAUCUUGACGAGUGUUCGCAAGUCCAGUGCAGAGUCCUCAGGGUGACUGCAGAGGCCUCCCUCUGGAGGUUGGGGACGAUGCCUGCCCACUGAGCCUACAAGCAUCACGUCUUUCACAUCUUAUUUUCCUGACCGUUUCAGUUUAUAAGACAGAGCACAGCCAUUCUUUUUUUUUUUUUUUUUUUUUUUUGGUUCUUUUUUUCGGAGCUGGGGACCGAGAGCACAGCCAUUCUUACGAUUGUUUUGUCUCUGAAAAGUGUGUCUGCACCUUCGCUCCGGUGUUAGUCUUCUCAGCCAGUGAAGUCGCUCGGAGAACAACAUCAGGGUGGACGUCAUUCUUCAGGGUUGUGAGAGGAUCAAAGUGUCACUCGCGUGGUUUUGAGUAGCUUUAGGACCCGCGUUGCUCACCUCACACUCUGAAGAGAAACUUAAUUUUCUAAAUUGGCACAUAGUAUUUGGUCAUUAUAAUGUUGUAAGAGCAUUUGGGGGAAGUACAUGUCAAAACUUUUGUUUCUCAGUUUUAUUAUAAAAAUUUUAAGUCUAUAAAAUUUAAAAUUGCGCCGCAUCCUCACCCCCUCAGCAUUAGUUAUGCUUGCGCGGUCACAUGCGCGGCCGUAUGUCUAUCCAUCCAGACUAUUUUCUGAUGAGUCUGAAACUGCGGAUCUCCACAUGCUCUCGUCUAAAUACUUGAGCACAUUUCUCACACUAGCAAGGUCUCCACUUGCUGCCUUUGGCAUAAGCUUGCAUUCAUGACGUGGAUGUGCACAGAACAUUCCCGUGCUCUGUUUCCAUAAUUACGUGGCGCGCUAUAGAAAGGGGCAUCUACCACUCUGGAAAGUUCUCCUUCUCACACCUCACUGUCCCCAGAUGACAAGCACUGUUCUUCCUCUCUACUGUAAGUUGGCUUGUUCCAUUUUAGAACUUAUUUUAAUUGACAUCACACAUCAGGUCUUCUUCACUACCGUAAUAUUUGGGAGAUUUAUUCGUGGACUUGGCGUAUUAUUAAUUCAUCCCUAUUUUAUUGCUAAGUGAUGUCCUCAUGAUUGUAUAUUGCCACUUGUUUUCCUAGUUUCCUAUUGGCUAACUGGGCUGUUUCCAGGACUGCCAAUUAUGAAGAGAACUGCAAUGAUCGUUAUUAGGAACAUCUGUAUCAAUAUAGUUAUCCAUUUGCUCAUGAGUAAAUAAAUAUUUAGGAUUGCUGGCUUGUAGGGUGGUUUUAAAAAGAAACUACCAUUCUUUUUCCCAGUGUGGUUGUUCUGUACCCUGAUUUUUAUAUUUUGGGUAUGUAAAAAGUUGUAAAAAAUUUUUUCUGAUUCCCAUGUUGAAAUAGAGAAGUUGGGGUUAGAAAUGAUAUCGCUCAUAUUUGAAUGUGGUAGUUGGCAUUCAAGGGGAAGGGAUGCUGUCUGUCACAGAACAGCUCCCGAAAGCGGUGCCUCAGACGUGAAAUUUUAGAAUAGGCUCCACUCUGUGAGAGGUUGGGCUCUAAGCAUGCUGAUUUAUUAGCUAGAAGAAACAGCACUAGCUCAAUUAUGUUACAUUUACCACCCACUUUCAGUAAGUAAAGUAAGACACAUUACUGAGUAGUAAAGAACACUUUAUGAGGGAAUCGGAGGGGGGCAGAAAACAAAAACAAAACCAAGAACAUGAACAGGAGUCGGUUCCUGGUACUACAGCGUGAGAAAGACAGCUGUGCAGGGGAGUGCCCUGUGGUGGUCAGGAAAGCAGACAACCAGAUGGGAAGAACUCUACCUCAUAGUUUACAUAGCUGAUAGGUAUGUUUUGUAGACAUUUUAGCCUUUAAGUGUCUUCAUCUUUUCAGCCCAACUUUGUUAGUUUUGUACUUGGGUGACUUUUUUCUACUGUGUGUUAUCCUCAUCUUCUGUUCUAUUAAACAAUACCCACCUGUGAAAUUAUGAUCAUAUAUUAUGUUUCCAGUACCCAUGUUCAAUACCCGUGUGUGACUUAUCUAACCUUUCCUAUAGGAUUUUUAAGGGCUGGGAAAUUUGGCUUCUACUGUGUAUCCUUAUGUGCCCACAUUGUAAAUAUGCAAUAAAACCAUAAAAAUACAAUGACAGCAGAUUUUCAUAUGUAUUUCUUGGCCAUGUUGUUAUCUGACAAGUUUGAUUUCUGUAAAU
ensembl:lncRNA